rnacentral:rRNA from 1 species
UACGGGGGGGGCAAGCGUUGUUCGGAAUUACUGGGCGUAAAGGGCUCGUAGGCGGCCAACUAAGUCACACGUGAAAUCCCUCGGCUCAACCGGGGAACUGCGUGUGAGACUGGAUGGCUUGAGUUCGGGAGAGGGAUGCGGAAUUCCAGGUGUAGCGGUGAAAUGCGUAGAUAUCUGGAGGAACACCGGUGGCGAAGGCGGCAUCCUGGACCGACACUGACACUGAGGAGCGAAAGCCAGGGGAGCAAACGGG